rnacentral:tRNA from 1 species
GGCAGUGUAGCCUAGUGGUAAAGUGCUGGACUACCAAACGGGAGGUCGUGGGUUCGGACCCCACCACCGGCA